GGUUUAUUAGUUUAAUUAAAAUAUAGGUUUUGUAAACUUAUGAUGGUUGAUAGGCCAUUAACCA
rnacentral:tRNA from 1 species